GUCUACGGCCAUGACACCCUGAACGCGCCUGAUCUCAUCCGAUCUCAGAAGUUUAACAGGGUCAGGUCUGGUUAGUACUUGGAUAGGAGACCACCUAGGAAUUCUGGGUUCUGUAGGCU
rnacentral:rRNA from 1 species